UACGGAGGAUGCAAGCGUUAUCCGGAUUUAUUGGGCUUAAAGGGUGCGUAGGCGGCCUGUUAAGUCAGGGGUGAAAGCCGGUAGCUCAACUAUCGCAGUGCCCUUGAUACUGAUGGGCUUGAAUUGGCUAGAGGUAGGCGGAAUGUGACAAGUAGCGGUGAAAUGCAUAGAUAUGUCACAGAACACCGAUUGCGAAGGCAGCUUACUAUGGUCUUAUUGACGCUGAGGCACGAAAGCGUGGGGAUCAAACAGG
rnacentral:rRNA from 1 species